GUCACUUUGGCGGAGUGGUUAACGCGCAGCCCUGCUAUCAUGGCAUCUCAAGGCUGUGACUUCGGUCGCGUAGGUUCGAAUCCUGCAGGUGACG